CCCUAGCCUAGAAAGAUUGGUCAGAAGACUCGUAACUGUUGUUCUCCCCGAGCCAGUCAUCCAGUUAAUCAAGGCACCAAAAUCUUGGGCUCCAUGACAGACGAUUUUACACAACUCAAUCUUGGGUCUGUGACUUCUCAGGGAAUGGUUGCUGGCAACUCCAAAACGCUGAUGCGCAGCGCCAAGGUUUUGCAUCUCAAUCUUGGGUCCGCGACUUCUCAGGGAAUGGUUGCUGGCAACUUGAAAAUGCUGAUGCGCAGCGUCAAGGUUUUGCAUCUCACGUCUAGUGGCCCUAAUCUUGAUGCAGUUAUUGUCUUCCUCAAAUCAUUCCCUUGCUUGGAGAAGCUGCACAUCAAAUCAUACCAAGACAAGACUAUUGCACCCACAUUGAGAAAGAAAUACCAAACCUAACUAUUUUUAUAACGAAAAUCUGCAAUUAUUAAUCUACCAGCAAAAGGUAGUAAAGUUAAUGUUUGAGUUUAAGGCCCUGCUGUGCCUUGAAGCACUUUAAACAUUAAGCUAAAGAACAUUAAAAAAAAUAUGAAAUUCAAUGUAAGUGGUUCUCAGAUCCUGCAUGAUACUCCAUAAGAGAUGGUGGCUCUCCAUUAUUUGGGAUCCAGUGACAGUGAUUGAAACUUGUUAAAUAGAAGGAAUUAUUAGUUCUCAAACAAUUUUGGUCACUUAUCCCGUCACCUCAUAUACAUAAUCCAGAUACUCAGCUAGAUAGCUAAAUAAUCGAACAAAUAGUUAUUCUAAGUGACCUAGCUAGAUAAAGGACGUUGAACUAUGUGAAAUUCAAAGAAGAACUACCUAUAUACCAGAGAGAUUAAUUAGUGCUGCGGAAUUGUAUAUACAUAAGGCGGAGAAGAAAUAGUAAGUACCUAUCGACAUUUGUGCUGCAAGUCGGAAUUUCGGACUACAGCGUUGCAUUCUUUUUAAGAUCCUUGGGUGUCCUCGCUGGAUACUUUGCAUUAUCUGCACAUUCGAUGAUAUCUUCAUGGCACAAAAUUAAAAAUAAUCAUCAAGAAGACAACGAUGAAUCUCAGAAAUAUAGUUGUACAAUAUACUGUCCGAGUUGUGUAGAUGUACGAAUACUUAGUGAUUAACAAAGAAGAUUUAUCAUGUGGAAAUGUAGGCAUCAUAAAAAAAUUCAUGUAAAGUUAGCUUGACAACACAAAAGUUUUGUUGUAAUUUUGUACUUACAGAUCGAUAUUUGUAUUUCAUAGAACAAUUAAUUGAUGGAUAUGUUGGUUUUACUAGUCAAGUGAGAAGGUAGUAGAUGUAGCAACAGUAGUUACUGUUGCAUCCUUUGAUAAUGUAGGUGUUGCCCUGGUAGAAAUGCCAAGUACCCGUUAACAGUUACAUACUAAAGGAUGUGAUUUUCAGUCAACAAAAUGAGAACUGACAAGAUAUAUAACACAUAACAAUUGGAAUUUAACAAGAACUACAAGUCUAAAUGAAUUUAUCACAAGUUAGGUCUGGGGAAGACUCCAAGCAUCUCUUCUUUGUAGGACACCAGACCAUAAAAGAACGCGUUGCCGCGCCCGUACUUGUAGUUGAGAAGGACAGAUUUGGAUGUAAACUAAAAUUAAUACUCCCUCCGAUCCAUAAUAAUUGUCGCUGGUACUGGAGUGGAGUAUGAUAUAGUAAACGUAAAAAACAUAAUGAUAAAGGCAUUUGAAAUGGGAAUUCUAUUUUAUUGAAUAAUAGGCUUCUGUACAUGACUUUGAGAAUAGCAUAAGGACCAUGGGAAUACAUAUUCUUUUUCAUUUUCUUACAUGUGGAACCAUCUCCAAUUUUUUUGCAAAGCUUUCAAAGACAUGACACAAAGCAUGAUAACAAUAGCUGGACAACUGUCCGUGGAAACGGACAUAUAUUAAGCUAGUCCUAUCAAAAAUCUUGAUUGCUCCAGAAUCUCCAGUAUUUCAACAAAAGCAAACAACCAUCAUCUUGGUUUUGUAUACAUAACAGCCAAAUCAUGCAAAGUGGAAAUAACAUUAAGUACUAAUAACUAUGAUUCUAAGGAAGUAACCUUCAAUUGACCACUGAUGACAUCAAAUAAGGUUAUGGAAUAUUAAUUGAAUAAGCUUGAAUGCUUGGAAAGAUUUAGAAACUUUUACCUGUGAGGGCAUGUGUGACUUUACUUUAGUUUUAGCUUCCAUAUUUAAGAUUUGUGGGUGAUACUGCGUCAUUCAGAGGCAUUUGGGCUGCAAAACAUUGAAAAAUAAUUAUUGCUACUCAAAAACUCCUUAAUGAACAGACUAUGAAGCAAAGAUGGUAAAGGUUGAGUCUGAAUACAUGGUCUGCAUUUUCAAUAAUAAAUUACAUAACAGUGACACAUUUUGCUGUUGUUGUAUCAUCCAAGCCUCCAAGCAUCUCUAGUUUUGAUACUAUUUUCUAGGCCAUGAUAGCGCGUGUUGCCGUGUCUGAAUACACGGUCUCCUGUGGUCCAAAUGAUUUCAGCACGUUAUUGAAGGAAAAGCUUGAAGAUUUUGAAAAAAAGAAUUGCGUAUAGACAGUUAUGAUCUCAUUCAGCCGAAGGUAAUUCUUUCUAUGUAAAGUCCACUUUUAUGUUAAUAGUUAAAUUUUAUUAAGAUACGGCAACUGUAGUUGAAGAUAUGGGGACCUAACCAGGGCACCAAAGCCCCGUAUCAAGUUUUGAUCAUUUAAUUUGUAAUAGGACUGGACUCAUAGAACAGUAUACAUAUUUCUUCAAAAUGACUUCAAUUUUGAGAGACGAGAUUGGAUGACUGUUCAACCAGAUGAGUUACCCGCAUGAUCCCGAUUGGUGUAGCCAUAGCCACCUGUGUGUUAUUUUGGUCUCAUCCAUUUGUGUGAAAAUCCCAGAUUUGUAUGCUCAGUGUAGUUUUUUAUCUGCCGAUCAUGGGGCUGAAUCCUCCUUUGGGGUUUAAAGCUUCUCUUGCAAACCAAUUCAUCAACAAAGCCUCAAGUUUCAAGCAACACCGGAAGGUUGGAUAAAAAGUACCCACGGUAUGAGCUAAUAUGGGAAGAUCCUAAUCAGCUCUCAAGAAAGAUGGAACAGUGGAAUAUGUCACCUCCUCCCCUUUAUCUAUGGAGCCGCAGUGAUUAUGCUCAGAGACAUUAAGAGAUUGCUAAAUCAAAGGGGCACCUUUGCAGCAAAAAAAAAACUGUGCCUCGGUAAUUCUAAAGGGAAGCUGGAAAUGGGCAUUGCGGACAUCCACGACAAAGAAAUGCAAGAAGAGAGACCCGCAACAGCCUCCGUUAUAGGACAGUUCAUGGUAACCAGAAGAUGGCAAUGUGUGUCAAGGAGCCUGAUGGAGCUGUAUGGCCUCAUGGCUCGUGAUGGUCAAGAACUAUGUGUGUUUGUAUUGCAUAUUAUAAAGUAAGUUCACCGCAGUACAGUUCAGCAAUGCCAAACUGAGCCUCAGCAUAUCCGGUAAAUCAUAUUGUGCGCAAUGCCAAGGAUAAGGAAAUAUUAAUAAACAUCUGGCAUAGUGGUAUCCAGUCUAGUGUGCUGCUUGUAUAUAUUGUCAAUACAUGAUAUUACUGCAUAUUAAGGCCAAGUCGUUGGCAUACUGCAAUAGUGUUAUGGAUUAACUUUGAUCCUCACGACCUAUUUGAAUACUUAAAUGCUGCUAGUAUAAUGGCAAUGAUAUAAAUAAUAUUCCUCCGUUCCAUAAUUCUUGUCUCAAAUUUGCCCAAAAAUGGAUGUAUCUAUUCCUAAAAAGGAUCUAGAUACAUGUAACAUUUCGACAAGAAUUAUGGAACGGAGGGAGUACUUAUGAACUAAGCUGGAGUGGAGCUUGUUAAUCAACUUUUCUGCAUUUUCUCUUAAUAGCUACAUCACUUUCCGUUUGUUUUCCAUGGUACACAGUUCCAAAUCUCCCAGAACCAAGUUCCGUAAGUUCUUUCUUCAAUGGUGUGCAAAGAAUUUUCUUCAUACAUUUUCCCUCUGCUUUCCAUGGUACACAGUUCCAAAUGUGCAAGAACCAAGUUUAUAAGUUCUGCAUUAUUGAUGAUGUGCAGAUAAAUUUGUAUACAUUCCAAUUCCAGCAAGAUAAUUCAGAGAUACUGUAGCCAAAUUUAUACUGAGAGAUAUCAAAGUACGCUGUCAAGCCAAGAACACUGGACAAACUUAUGGUGGGUGAACACAGAAGGGAAGGAGGAGAGAGAAGCGAGCUCUACCUACGGUCGGUGCCGAUGGAGUGCGACGGUCGGCGAUGAGGACCCUCGACAGUGUCGUUCCCUCUUGCUUGCUAUUGGAGAGCGAGCAGGCGGCAACAAGGCGCCUCCCAGCGCGCCUUUUCCAGUGCGCUUCACUUUCCUUCCUCGUGGAGACUCCUGGUCAACUUCUUCCGCCUGUUAUUGCUCAUCAGGCGAGAGGAGCCGCCGUGCCUGGACGAGUCACCCGCGAAACCCUAAAUCCCGCUAAUGCAGGCUGCAGGAAAGGGGUGGGUGUCUUGCACUGCCUCGGCAUCGAUCCUUGUCGCCGAGAAUGGCGAGAGGGCAGGCCGCCGUCUCUCGUGCGGGAAGGGGAGGCGGGGCAGCGCCGCGGUAGGGGAGACGAUGCGCCAUCGCCAUGGGGCCAUUGGGGUCUGGACUCUGGAACUGGACGACGUCACUGUUCGUCAAUGGGCCGAGAUUUCGGCCCAGUUAAGCAGACAUUUCCGAGUUUUUAUUUCUGGCCGAGCAGCGGGCAGCGGCCGAAGACAACGGUGGACGGACGGUUAGAGAUCCGAGUGGGUACAGCGAACGGCUGGCGGGCGUUGGUGAUGCCCUCAGAAUUUCUGAUGGUCGAAAGUGCGUUGUGUUUUGUUGUCCUUGUUAGACGAAUACGCGCGCUUUGCCGUGCCGCUAAAUAAAGUUUUAUGUGAAAUUUUCUCCACUGUC